GACGAACGCUGGCGGCGUGCUUAACACAUGCAAGUCGUACGGUAAGGCCCUUUCGAGGGUACACGAGUGGCGAACGGGUGAGUAACACGUGAGUAACCUGCCCACAACUUUGGGAUAACGCUAGGAAACUGGUGCUAAUACUGGAUAUGUGCUCCUGCUGCAUGGUGGGGGUUGGAAAGCUCCGGCGGUUGUGGAUGGACUCGCGGCCUAUCAGCUUGUUGGUGGGGUAGUGGCCUACCAAGGCGGCGACGGGUAGCCGGCCUGAGAGGGUGACCGGCCACAUUGGGACUGAGAUACGGCCCAGACUCCUACGGGAGGCAGCAGUGGGGAAUAUUGCACAAUGGGCGCAAGCCUGAUGCAGCAACGCCGCGUGCGGGAUGACGGCCUUCGGGUUGUAAACCGCUUUCAGCAGGGACGAAGCUUUUUGUGACGGUACCUGAAGAAGAAGCACCGGCUAACUACGUG
rnacentral:rRNA from 1 species